GACGAACGCUGGCGGCGUGCCUAAUACAUGCAAGUUGAGCGCUGAAGGUUGGUACUUGUACCGACUGGAUGAGCAGCGAACGGGUGAGUAACGCGUGGGGAAUCUGCCUUUGAGCGGGGGACAACAUUUGGAAACGAAUGCUAAUACCGCAUAAAAACUUUAAACACAAGUUUUAAGUUUGAAAGAUGCAAUUGCAUCACUCAAAGAUGAUCCCGCGUUGUAUUAGCUAGUUGGUGAGGUAAAGGCCCACCCAGGCGAUGAUACAUAGCCGACCUGAGAGGGGGAUCGGCCACAUUGGGACUGAGACAAGGCCCAAACUCCUACGGGAGGCAGCAGUAGGGAAUCUUCGGCAAUGGACGAAAGUCUGACCGAGCAACGCCGCGGGGGGUGAGAAGGUUUUCGGAUCGUAAAACUCUGUUGGUAGAGAAGAACGUUGGUGAGAGUGGAAAGCGCAUCAAGUGACGGUAACUACCCAGAAAGGGACGGCUAACUACGUG
rnacentral:rRNA from 1 species